AUGAUUAUAGUCUACAACAGAAAAAGCAAAUAUCAAGUGAACUUCUCCAUGGCAGCAAUUCCAGGCAGUCUCACCCGGUGAACUACUUACAGCAGAAAGGCAAACUUCAGCUGGAUCAGAAGAAUACAAAACCUCAGAGUCACUCUUUGACAUGUGAAUGGAAAAAGUACUCGCCCAAAUGUCAGGUAAUCUACAUAUGACUAACUCUACUGUGGCGCACAAUACAAAGAAUAUAAAAAUACUCUUUUUAUUAGAGGCCAAGAACAAGCUGUCAGAGUUUGCAGAGCAAAAUGUAAUUGCUUCCAGUUAUUAUUCCCAUAUAAUAAUCCUAUGGUCAAAAAGCUACUUCUCCAGACAAUUUGAGCUCAUAUCUUUUACAGCAAGACAAUAUUAAAUAUUUUGUGCAUACUAUUUACACAAAGGAAGAGGGCAAAGUCCUUACUUUGUUAUAACAUAAAUGAAGGAAGAUACAGAACAAUAAAUGCAGGAGAUGGAUGCACUGACUGACUAAUGGGUAAUAAGUGAAUUACUACAAAGAGGAGAACUGUGAAUUAAGAUUAAGAUUAAUGUAGCUCAUUAUUUACAAGCCUUUUGAGGCACAGAAAGUAAAAUGAUGGACUGCACAGAACUGGUAGGUACAGUAGCAAGACAGCAUGGCAGAACACAAGAGGAAAGGUCAAAGCAGCAGCAUGCAGGCAAAAUGCUGAGCUCUUAAAGACAGGAGGAUAGAGUGGAACAUGGUACUACUAAGCAGUAGUCAAAACAAGCCCAUGCUUCAGAAUAAGCCACUGCAGGAAAAGAGUGUUGCUGAUGCCACUUUCAGCCUUACUAGGUACAGUGAGUAGCAGCCCCAAGAGCACUGAUAUUUUUAAGGUCAUCCAUUGCUAUUGUGCACACACAAAAAGGAGUUUGUUGCUUUGCCAAAUACUGCAGAAUCCUAAAAUGAGCAGAGAGGAAACAGGAACACUGCGGUAUCAGCUUCUCAGUCUAAUGCAAGGAGCCACAACUAUUGUUUCCUGGAAAAGAAUUUCAACUUAACAGACUGUAAGCAUGAACGUCACAGCGGUCUUCUUGAUUUUCUUAAGACUUUUAUGGGAGGAGAGGAAACCAGCCAACAGCUGCAUCACAGGGAAGAUGAUCAAAGAAACUUUACUUGUAUUUUUAGUCGUCCUGCUUCCUGAAUCCAAGGCAUCUCUUUAGCUGCUUCCUCCUGCCUGAGAGACCCCAGGCUGUAUUCUAGCAGUGUCACUCAUCUGCUAGUGAUGCAGUGCUUACAUCCACCACACUCUCUCUCUCUAAUUACUGUAAUCUGUGCUUCUGUGAUUUGGCAUCAGUAUUUGCAACCCACGCUAAUCAGAAAAUAUUAAAUUGUUCACCUUUGUACUGCAGGAUAUAUUAAAAUCAUAUGAGCUGCA